GUGCCAAUGAGUUCAAGAGUGUUCCCUGCUUUCUUUUCUAUCAGGUUCAGUGUAUCUAAUUUUAUGUUUAGGUCUUGGAUCCACUGGGACUUGAGUUUUGUGCAUGGUGAC